UACGUAGGGGGCAAGCGUUGUCCGGAAUCAUUGGGCGUAAAGAGCGUGUAGGCGGUUCGGUAAGUCGGCUGUGAAAGUCCAGGGCUCAACCCUGGGAUGCCGGUCGAUACUGCCGGACUAGAGUUCGGAAGAGGCGAGUGGAAUUCCCGGUGUAGCGGUGAAAUGCGCAGAUAUCGGGAAGAACACCCGUGGCGAAGGCGGUUCUCUGGGACGGUACUGACGCUGAGACGCGAAAGCGUGGGGAGCGAACAGG
rnacentral:rRNA from 1 species